AAGAUUAUAACCUGCUUUAUGCAACCAUCAGAGCCAAAGAAACUUAACCAAAGGUUUAAAACUUACAUAAACAAAGAUUCUUUUAUUUACAACUCUGCUUCUCUGAUGAACAAGAAGCUGCAGCUUACACGUUUGAGGUGCCUUAUUCAUACUGGCUACUCAAUAUGUAAUUUUUUAAAAAAUCUGUUGGUCUUACAGUAUGGAAGCAAAAAUGAAUGGUGAUGUUGGUGAAUGCUAAGAAGUAAGACAUAUCAAGAUUUAAAACAUAAAUAGCUUGGAACACCCUGAAGAGCAACAUGGGAGAAACUGAGAAAAGAAUUGAAACCCAUAGAAUAAGAUGUCUUUCCAAGUUGAAGAUGUUUCUGUUGGCAAUAACAUGUGCAUUUGUAUCCAAAACACUGUCUGGAUCUUAUAUGAAUUCCAUGCUCACACAAAUAGAGAGACAAUUCAACAUCCCAACAUCUCUAGUUGGAUUCAUUAAUGGAAGCUUUGAGAUUGGAAAUCUUUUGUUGAUUAUAUUUGUGAGUUAUUUUGGAACCAAACUGCAUAGACCUAUAAUGAUUGGCAUU
rnacentral:lncRNA from 1 species